rnacentral:misc_RNA from 1 species
GAUGAAGAACGUAGCGAAAUGCGAUAAGUAAUGCGAAUUGCAGAAUUUCCGUGAGUCAUCGAAUCUUUGAACGCACAUUGCGCCCACUGGUAUUCCGGUGGGCAUGCCUGUUCGAGCGUCAUUAUCCCCCCUCAAACCCCGUGUUUGGUGUUAGACCCAAGUUGUGUGAACAACUGGUCUCAAAGACAAUGACGGCGUCCGUGGGACCCUCGGUGCAACGAGCUUUUAGGAGCACGCAUCGAGUUGCAAGGACCUUCCGGGCCGGUCUCCUUUACUAUUUUACAAGGUUGACCUCGGAUCAGGUAGGAAUACCCGCUGAACUUAAGCAUAUCAAUAAGCGGAGGA